GUACACUCCUGCGGGAGGCAGCAGUGGGGAAUAUUGGACAAUGGGCGCAAGCCUGAUCCAGCCAUGCCGCGUGAGUGAUGAAGGCCCUAGGGUUGUAAAGCUCUUUCACCGGAGAAGAUAAUGACGGUAUCCGGAGAAGAAGCCCCGGCUAACUUCGUGCCAGCAGCCGCGGUAAUACGAAGGGGGCUAGCGUUGUUCGGAAUUACUGGGCGUAAAGCGCACGUAGGCGGAUCGAUCAGUCAGGGGUGAAAUCCCAGGGCUCAACCCUGGAACUGCCUUUGAUACUGUCGAUCUGGAGUAUGGAAGAGGUGAGUGGAAUUCCGAGUGUAGAGGUGAAAUUCGUAGAUAUUCGGAGGAACACCAGUGGCGAAGGCGGCUCACUGGUCCAUUACUGACGCUGAGGUGCGAAAGCGUGGGGAGCAAACAGGAUUAGAAACCCCGGUAGUCCCAU
rnacentral:rRNA from 1 species